UACGUAGGGCGCGAGCGUUGUCCGGAAUUAUUGGGCGUAAAGAGCUCGUAGGCGGCCUGUUGCGUCCGCUGUGAAAUCCCAGGGCUCAACCCUGGGCGUGCAGUGGAUACGGGCAGGCUGGAGGCAGGCAGGGGAGAAUGGAAUUCCCGGUGUAGCGGUGAAAUGCGCAGAUAUCGGGAGGAACACCGAUGGCGAAGGCAGGUCUCUGGGCCACUACUGACGCUGAGAAGCGAAAGCAUGGGGAGCAAACAGG
rnacentral:rRNA from 1 species